CACGUAGUUAGCCGUGACUUUCUGGCGGGGCACCAUCAGUCAGCACCCAUUCCUGAUGCUGCCUUUUUUCCCCCGCAACAGAGCUUUACGACCCGAAGGCCUUCUUCACUCACGCGGCAUCGCUCGUUCAGGCUUGCGCCCAUUGACGAAAAUUCCCUACUGCUGCCUCCCGCAGGAGUCUGGGCCGUGUCUCAGUCCCAAUGUGGCCGUCCGCCCUCUCAGGCCGGCUAUGCAUCAUCGUCUUGGUGGCCUUUACCCGCCAACCAACUAAUGCACCGCAGGUCCAUCCGCGCCCCAUCCCCUAAAGGAUCGUUUCACAGAAAGAAGAUGCCUCCUUCCUGUACAUCGGGUAUUUCGUUCUCCGUUUCCAGAGUCGUAUUCCCGGUGCGCGGGCAGGUUCCCUAGUUCGUUACUCCGACCCGUUC
rnacentral:rRNA from 1 species